rnacentral:rRNA from 1 species
UACGAACUGUGCGAACGUUAUUCGGAAUCACUGGGCUUACAGGGUGCGUAGGCGGCCUGUUAAGUAGGGUGUGAAAUCCCCCGGCUCAACCGGGGAAUGGCGCCCUAAACUAGCGGGCUCGAGUGAGGCAGGGGUGUGUGGAACUCUCGGUGGAGCGGUGAAAUGUGUUGAUAUCGAGAGGAACACCGGUGGCGAAAGCGACACACUGGGUCUUGUCUGACGCUGAGGCACGAAAGCCAGGGGAGCGAACGGG